AACGAACGCUGGCGGCAGGCUUAACACAUGCAAGUCGAGCGCCCCGCAAGGGGAGCGGCAGACGGGUGAGUAACGCGUGGGAAUCUACCCAUCUCUACGGAAUAACGCAUGGAAACGUGUGCUAAUACCGUAUACGUCCUUCGGGAGUAAGAUUUAUCGGAGAUGGAUGAGCCCGCGUUGGAUUAGCUAGUUGGUGGGGUAAAGGCCUACCAAGGCGACGAUCCAUAGCUGGUCUGAGAGGAUGAUCAGCCACACUGGGACUGAGACACGGCCCAGACUCCUACGGGAGGCAGCAGUGGGGAAUAUUGGACAAUGGGCGCAAGCCUGAUCCAGCCAUGCCGCGUGAGUGAUGAAGGCCCUAGGGUUGUAAAGCUCUUUCACCGGUGAAGAUAAUGACGGUAACCGGAGAAGAAGCCCCGGCUAACUUCGUGCCAGCCGCCGCCGUAUAC
rnacentral:rRNA from 1 species